AAAGGACCAUUGAGGGGAUCCCUGGGUGGCUCAGCAGUUUGGUGCCUGCCUUCGGCCCAGGGUGUGAUCCUGGAGUCCCGGGAUCGAGUCCCAUGUCAGGCUCCCUGCAUGGAGCUUGCUUCUCCCUCUGCCUGUGUCUGUGACUCUCUCUCCCUCUCUCUGUGUAUCUCAUGAAUAAAUAAAUAAAAUCUUUUUUUAAAAAAAGAAAGGACCAUUGGAAUACCUAUUAUAGUGGAUGGCAAGAGACCCACAUAAAUACACACUGUGAUGAAGUUUCAGGCACUGGAGACAAAGACCCUAAAGGCUUCUAGGGACUCCUGGGUGGCUCAACGGUUGGGCAUCUGCCUUCGACCUGGGGUAUGAUCCUGGGGUCCUGGGAUCGAGUCCCAUGUUGGGGUCCCUGCAUGGAGUCUGCUUCUCUCUCUGCCUGUGUCUCUGCCUCUCUCUCUGUGUCUCUCAUGAAUAAAUAAAUAAAAUAUUUUUAAAAGGCUUCUAAAGAGAAAAUAUGUAUUAUACACAAAUAUUGAGAGUCAGAAUGGCCCUGGACUUCUCCAUAGCAACCCUGCAACUAGGGAGAAAAGAGAAAAACACUUCUCAAAAUUCUCAGGGGAAAUGAUCCAACUUAGAAUUCUAUAUCCAGCCAAACUAUCAGUUAAGUGUGAGCAUAGAAAAUACUUCUCUGACGUGCAAGGUCUCAAAACAUUGCUGCCCAUGCAUCCUUUCCCAGAAAGCUGCUGGAGGAGAUGAGCCACCAAAAUUUUGGGGAAAAUUAUGAAAGAGGAAAUGUGGAAUCCAGGGAGCUGGGGAGAGAGGCAGACAGAUUCUCCAAAGAGAGAAGAGGAGAGCCCUAAUCACAAGGAGUGACCACCCUAGACAGGGAAGUAUCUCUCCGUUACAUCGGAGUAUAGCAUGAUAUGUUUUACAGCCAGGGAUUUUUCAUUCGGAUGGUAUCUCUUUCAGUGGUUGAUUUAAAGUCAAAAUGACACCAACAUGGAGAACAAAUGGUUUACCUGUUCUCUCCCCAGUCCCACCCAGAGCUGCAGUGAAGCUUCAAACCAGUGUGACUGGUCUUUGUUUCCUGUGCAGAUUGCCACUUGCAAAUGUCCUUCCUGGCCAGUGCCACAGUAAAUGUUGGUCACCCGUGGCAUCUGCGUGACCAGGAGAAGAGCAGGAGGCCGGCUUCCUCCUCCACUGUCAGCAUAUUGUGACGCAUGGCAGCUUACAGGUGCCUAGCGAUGUGGAUUUACUGAUCAUAUGACCUAGUUUUAACUUAACUCCCAAAUGAGCCAUAGGGCUUAAAAAGAUUCCUGCAAAGAAACCAUGUGUUAAAAAUAAUACUAAUAAUGCAAGCACGCCCGAACAAGAUGGAGGCAGAGCAGAUGUUUCUUCUAGUACAAGCUCUUUGUCAGCCACAUCAUGAGGCCAAAACAACU
rnacentral:lncRNA from 12 species